AAUGCAGGACCUUGUGCUUAUAAGGCAGGUGGCGGAAACACUGAGCUAAAUCCCCAGUGCCCCCCUGAACUUCAUUAAACAGCCGAAAUGUGGACUUCAUGGAAGUCUUGCCUGACUCUCCACGUAAGGAAACUCCCCAUCCCACUUCCAUUAAUUUAUUCUUGUCACACCAUCUGGCUUGCUUCCACCAUGGCAUUAAUCACAACGACUCUGACAAAUGCCUUUCUGAGUACAGAGGAAAGAGAUGAUCCGCAAAAUGAUUUGGGGAGAGACAUGGGGGUUUUAUGAAAAACCUUUCCCAUCUCUCCAGGGCACAAAUUACUGAUUGAUACUCCUUAUGAAUGACUGGCCUAAGCUCAAGGCACUGAAUGGAAAAGAUGCUGCUAAUAGUUUCCUACUGCAUUUCAAUCCUCAAAACCUUCCAACUGACUGUUUACAAAGAGCACCAUCUCAAAGGCAAAAUGCAAUGCAAGUGUUUUAUGUGUAUGAAGAUGGCUGCACCAGUAACAGUUAUCUUGAAAUAUGGUGGCAGCCUACAAUCAUGGACAUCAGUUCAGCUGAAUGUAAACACCCAUUUGUUUCUCAGAAUAAGAUAAAUAGCAACAUUUUAAAUAACUUGAUGCAGAUUUGGCUUAAUUCAUCAGGUUUGUUUUAAAACUGGAACUGAUUCAUUUCUUAACAUUUCAGAUGACAAACAUUAUCAAAUUAUAUUAGCAAACAGAAAAGCAAUCCAUUGCCACUGUUUUUGAUUAUCUGAGUGUUUCCUUAAAAAGGGAAAAGAGAAAACCCAUAA